GACGAACGCUGGCGGCGUGCUUAACACAUGCAAGUCGAGCGGUAAGGCCCCUUCGGGGGUACACGAGCGGCGAACGGGUGAGUAACACGUGGGUGACCUGCCCUCAGCUCUGGGAUAAGCCUGGGAAACUGGGUCUAAUACCGGAUAUGACUCCAUGACGCAUGUCGUGGGGUGGAAAGCCUUGUGCGGCUGGGGAUGGGCCCGCGGCCUAUCAGCUUGUUGGUGGGGUGAGGCCUACCAAGGCGACGACGGGUAGCCGGCCUGAGAGGGCGACCGGCCACACUGGGACUGAGACACGGCCCAGACUCCUACGGGAGGCAGCAGUGGGGAAUCUUGCGCAAUGGGCGAAAGCCUGACGCAGCGACGCCGCGUGAGGGAUGACGGCCU
rnacentral:rRNA from 1 species